GAUAUUGCACCAGAGCGCUGCAGAGUAAGACUCAUGGCUUAACCUUACCUGCUAGAUCAUAGACCCUUAGUGCUUACAGUCUUUUUUUGAGAACUUAAGUGGCUCUGAAAAGAGCCUUUUGGGUAAAGCCGAUCAAUCACGUCUCUGCUGCACUUCACUUGGAGCUGGUGUACUUGGUGACGGCCUUGGUGCCCUCCGACACUGCGUGUUUGGCCAACUCUCCCGGCAGCAGCAGACGCACGGCCGUCUGGAUCUCCCGGGAAGUGAUGGUCGAGCGCUUGUUGUAAUGCGCCAGACGGGAAGCCUCACCUGCUAUGCGCUCGAAGAUAUCAUUCACGAAGGAAUUCAUGAUUCCCAUAGCCUUAGAUGAGAUGCCCGUGUCCGGGUGCACUUGCUUCAGCACCUUGUACACGUAGACAGAAUAGCUCUCCUUGCGGCUGCGCUUGCGCUUCUUGCCAUCUUUCUUCUGCACUUUCGUGACAGCUUUCUUGGAGCCCUUCUUGGGGGCAGGAGCAGACUUCGCUGGAUCCGGCAUUUUCCUCCGCGUUUAAAGAUGUAAUGUAAGGUAGACCGAGAAACUACGGACUGUUGCAGCGCGGCUUGCUAUGCGGUACUUAUAGAGCUUGUAUGCAAAUGAGGUUUCACACGGUAUUCCAUUUUUAUUGGUUAAUUUACAGCAGUGUCAGCGUCAAGGAGGCGGAGCCUACUCAAACCGCUUCUGGUUGCGCGCCUUGGUGGUGCUUAGAGGAAAGUCUUUCUAGCCAAUCGCAGCCUCCCAUUUCAUGUUAGCCAGUUAAUGAGAGCGGCAGUUUUGCCUCAGCUGUUCUUUAUGUUCCCUUCGCUCAGAUCCUUAAAACACCAGGUUGAAUUAAGUUAACUAUCGCUCUUAGGUAUCUCGCUUAGAAUUAUGGGGCUACUUUUCAGGUUCACAGUUUUGAGAACCUAAUUAGAACUCCUUUUCUGGACUGGCCCAUAUUUGAGUAGUGAGCCCAAGACCAGCUCUAAAUCGAACGAACCUGAGAAUGAGGUUCAAUGUUACUGAGUGAUUACUGGCAAUUGUUAGGCCUGACACACUUGAGGGUGUAUUUGAAACAUUGAAAAUACAAUUGCAAAGGUGACACAGCUACUCUUACUGACAACGUAGGUGGCUCUGAAAAGAGCCUUUGUGGGGGGUGGAUGGGAGACGGGGCGCUCAAGCGCGCUCCCCACGGAUGCGACGGGCCAACUGGAUGUCCUUGGGCAUGAUGGUGACGCGCUUGGCGUGGAUGGCGCACAGGUUCCUGCGCGAUCUCGCGGUGCCGGGCCGGUAGCGGUGCGGCUUCUUCACGCCGCCCGUGGCCGGGGCGCUCUUGCGGGCGGCCUUGGUGGCCAGCUGCUUGCGCGGGGCCUUGCCGCCGGUGGACUUGCGGGCGGUCUGCUUCGUACGGGCCAUAUUUUCGCGACUUCGGCUUGCAGACGCCAAGUGGCCAUACUUAUAGACUUAUCUUCGUCUUGAUUGGGCCCAGAAAGCAGGAGUUUCUGGACUUGCUGUCUGAUUGGGUAGAAUUCGAUCCUAUUUGCUGAGUUUCAAGAUGGUUACACUAUUCCUUCUCUCCUGAUACUUUUCCUUCUUGUAUUUAUGAACCACAGACGGUUUUAAAAAGAUAGUGCUUUUCAGUUGAUGUAACUUUCCUAAAUGCAGUGUUUAAAGUGUUUCUCACGCAGUGUGCUCUUCUAACAGGUUUCUUUGGAAACAAACUUGCCCUUUUCAUGUUCUGCGAUUCACUUUGUAGCGAGUCACCAGAUACUGUAACUCUUCCCCGACAGUUAGCAUUUAUUUAACCUCAGGCAUUGUGCCCAGCGAUUUGAACGCUUUGUACCACGGCUGAAGGAUGACAUAACGAUGUAUAGUGAAAGGAACCAAAUGCAAACUUAAGUUUUACCUACUUCGAAACCCUACCCAAGCCGGUCUUACAUUUACCGCACACUGACUAUCGUUAUGUAUGGCGCUCCCGCCUUUCCUUCCGUCUAGAGUGCGUUCUUUCCACCUCCCUUCUACACUAACGGCCAAUUAAGUCCUGCAGAUGAAAUGUUUAUAUAACAGAAGGAUAAGACUAGAAGUAUUAAUACCGCCUUUCCAGUGGAGAACAGUUACUAAAUAGUUAAACCUGUCACCUAGAUGUCAAAUCAAAAUAACUUUCAAAGCAAAUGAGCAUUUACUUAUUUGAUUCUUUUUCCUUUUCUUUUCGAGACAGGGUUUCUCUGUGUAGCCCUGACUCUUUGACCUCACUCUGUAGACCAGGCUGGCCUCGAACUCAGAAAUCCGCCUGCCUCUGCCUCCCAAGUGCUGGGAUUAAAGGCGUGGGCCACCACAGUAUUUCUGUAUGUAGCCUUGGGUUCCUGAAACUCCAUCUGUAGACCAGGCUGGCCUGUUUCUGCCUCCUGAGUGCUGAGAUUAAAGGUGUGUGCCACUAUGGCCUGGUUCAAAGUAAAGCUUUUAAUAGCAUGCCUGAUUUUUUGGUAAAAAAAAGCAUUGUAUACCAACCUUCUUAAAAUUCAAACCCGAAAGUAAAAAUAGGCCCAAGAUAUUUAAAACUUUCCUUGAGGUGACAAAAAUGUAUUAUCUUUUCGCUGAAAUCCAAGUAAAAUGAAAUUGAUUUUAAGGAGAUUCCAAAAUACUAAACACAGGUAGAAGUUUGGCAGUUUAAUUAAUUUCUUUAAGAAUCCUUCAGGAGCAGAAGUAACCUCCAAAAUAUGGCACAAAAGUAUCACUGAUGGGAACUGUUACUUCUUCCUGUGGUCAUUUCUUAACAAUGUUUUAAGCAUAGUCAGCAAUGCUUCCUAUAGAAGUGGAUCUAGGGUGAGAUGGAUCAGUCGGCAAAGCCUUGAAACACAGAAACAUCUUCUUCAUAUCGUACAAUCAAACCAUUCAGGGCUUCUCAAACGCUGCUGACCUUUCCCAUCAGAAGGGGACCUGCCCUGUGGGGAUGGAUGGUGCCCACACCAGGUAUCGUGUUUCCUGGUAAGAUUUUCUUUGUAAUGUAUGUACUGGAGCACAAAGCAUGUGGGUGUUUAUUUAAAUCAGAAAGAGAUUCUCAAACUUCAGACUCU
rnacentral:lncRNA from 1 species